CAUACCCCCUGGAUGCGUUAAUUACGCAUCACUUAUCUGUUGCCAAUGUGUUCACAAAGCUGGACCCUCUUUGCAGCGGUUGCCUUCACUUUUUGGUCAAUCUAGUAUGGAAAGUAGACAACAAUGGCUCACCAGGCUGAAAAAUGAACUUAGCAACAGUCCUCUGGUGUCAAAUGUGGCUUUUGGCUUCAUCCUCAUGGGACUGGAGAAGCUGGUGGAGCUGGAGUUUGAGUGUCCUUGCAACCCUACAUGGAACGGAGUAUUCUCAUCAGCGUUCUUCAUCAUUCCUGCCGUCAUGGCCUUCACCCUGAUGCUGAUCAUUCAAGGAUGCAGAUUUGACGCGUGGUGCAGGAAAACCCUUUCCCUCUCCAGCUUCGUUCCUGCUAUCGUGUGGCUUAUUUUGUUGUUCCUCGAUGGACAAUACUUUGCUUGUGCCAUGACAGACUGGAAGGGUAGAUUUGUAAUAGUUGACAAGGCAGCUCCGCAGAAGUGGUGUGAGCCGACUGGUGAGGGAGAUGUCACCCCACAAGAACUGAUGCUCCGCUCACAGCAGCUCUUUGUUUUUUCUCAGGUUAUCGGCAUAGUCCUCCUCAUUUUCAUCUGUGUGGGUCUCAUAGUGUAUGUAAUCAGAGAAAGCUGCGAACAAGAGGUGGAGAUGCAGGAUGCAGAUGUAGCCGAGCUCACUGUGCUUAGGAUGAGCUCCCUGCGGACCAGGACGUCCUGAGGGGGGACUCACACCACCCAACACACCUGCCCAGCAGGCAUGGACACUUUGUAAAUACCAAUAACAGACUUUAUGACUUUUCGUAACUGUUGUUAAGAAGUGUUGCCCACUAGACAAGUUUUAAACGGUCAAUUAUUACUAUAAUUAUGGAUAUUAUUUUUCUGUUUUAUCAUUUAAUAUGUAACCGGUCUUGUGCCUUUGUUCAUCCCAUACGCCAGUGCUGCAACUUAUUAGCUUUUGAAGGGCUCUUUAAAGGAAUAGGUGAUUAUUUUUGUUGUUUUUUUUGGUGGGAUGAGAAGAUGGAUAAUAUCACGUCUGUCCAUUGAAUAUGACACUUCAUCCAACAGUUGGUGGGCUUAGUUGAGCGGAAAGUUUGUAACCAGGGAGGAAGCAGUCGGCCUCGUUCAGUCCAAAAUCUAAAUAGUGCUUGUAUCUCCAAAAAUGAACAGCUAUCUCAUUAGUCUGAUCUGUACAACAGUAAAAAACAAUAAAUAAGCUGUUUAUGAGUAUGCAUAAAAGCAGUUGCUAUGCAACCAGGAAAGAUUAAAAGUGCGGUAACCCCACCGAGAAGCAAGGAAAGCCCCCCCACUUUGACAUAUUCAGUGUGUGUUUGACAGACAAAUAAUCAUCCAGAAGCAAAGUCUGUUCUGCUCUCUCACCUUUUCAACGUUUUACAAACUUUUUUUUUAACAUGGAAGUUAUCUUUGUGCCUUCUGUAUAAGCUAUAAUUGUGGAAUCCAAAAGUCAGGGAAUAUUGAUCUGAUCUACUAUUAUUUGACUUGUAUAAACCCAAUAGUUGGAGGUGUAUGUUCCCAAAAUGAAGACGUUCCAUCAUGAUGAAAUUUCAUUUGAAAUGUUUUGGUUUCUCCUCCUGGAUAGCAACUGUCUCCAGACUGAACUGAUAUUCCUAAUGAUUUACCUUUUGGACAGCUAGAGGUGUAAACACAUGUUCAUGAUGCUCUGUAUCAUGGUUGCAACCAGUUAAUAGUGGGAUGUACACAAAUUCUGUAACAGGAUUUCUAGUGUUUAUCUUUUUUAUUGUUUGAUAUUAAAAUUAUUUAUUUAUUUAAAAAAAAAACAUCAGGGAUUUUUUUAUCAGUCACAUCAGAAUAGCAUUUGGUCAGUUUCCACCAUCGUAACAAACCUGCACUGUCGGUAACUUGAAUGUGUCUUAACAUGUGAUCAACUCAGCUGUGAGAGUAAUGUCAGUUGUAAAAUCGUUCUACACACACCAAAGUGGGUCAAAUCAAUAUGGUAACAUUAGGAAUAUCUUUUCAACUUUGGACUUUUAUUACUGUAAAUGCCAACAUUUGCUAAGACAACAGCAGAACAAUCAGCACAGCACAUGCUACAAAUAGUAUGCUAUCUGCUGAGGAACACAAAGCCUGUCUGUAGAUUCUCAGGUUAGUGACACCUUUGUGUCACCUUUGUGCGCAUCCUUUAUGGGGAAGAGACUGGUUUGGAGCACGUCUGCUGAAACCUACACAAACAGCAGUUAUGACACGGAGGAAGUUGUUGUCUUUAACCCCUCCUCUUUAUUCAGUGUUAAGACACAGCAGAGCACCACGCGCAAACAAAUGGCGUCCCUAAACUCAUUCAUGGAGUCAUGGGGCACUUUUCUGUUAUGAGUUUUUGAAAAUGUAAAAUCAUAUUCCAGUGUUCCACAGUCAGUUAGAAACAUUUUGGAAAUUAGUGGAGCAAUACAUUCACUGGGUCCUUCAUCCUUGUCCUGCAUAAAAGGAUGAACUCAUGAGCAUUACCCACAUAUUAAGAAAAAGAUUGUAAUUCCUUCCCUCUAAAGCAGCAAUUUUGCAGCCCAUUUGGACAUGUUUGUUUAAAAGGCUUUGUUAAAUAAUGUGUAAUAAUUGUUAAAAAAAACAAAGAAAAUCAGCCUUAAACAGCUAUGUUCUUCUGUGUUGACCAUUGAUUUUUUAAUAAAAUCAAAUGUUU
ensembl:lncRNA